CAUAAAGAAAUUAAAUUCCUCUUAAUACUUUGUUCUCUCUGAUGAACACCUUUGUCUCAGCUUGCUCUGUCCUUCAUAGGACUUUUUUUUUUUCCAUUUGCUAAACAUAUGGCUGAGACUUAGUAGAGGAGAGCACAAAGGACAAUUUGUUCUAGAAGCCUGCAUCUCAGCAAGCACAGUAUUUAUAAGAAUCUCAUCAAAUAUACUUGAGUUGUCUAACGCAGGAUCUUUCCUAGGUGUAAGCACCAAAACGAGUAGGGGAAAGCUUAGGAUGUAACCUGCCUUCAGAGAGGGACAGAGCAGAAAGGACUGCGAGAGUGGGGGAGGAGGAAUAGCUUUACAUCGCUUCUCUUCGAAACCUUGCAGCUACAGUGGCUCUUGCAAAACACUUGUUGAUUUAAAGAGCGCAAGCAGAGCUACUGACAGAGCCCAUUACCUUUGCUGUCAGGUUGGACUCACCAGACAAUGGUAGGGAAGGCAGUUCCAGGAGACCACCGGAGUCUGCAAAUCUGAGGAGCUGCACAGGGAAGUAGGACAGAUGUCCAAAACUGAUGAGGGAAAUCUUCAACAGAUCUGGUCGUUUUGCACUCUCUGGCUCAGCCUUCAAGAAUGACUGCUCCCCAUUCCUGAUGCCUCUGUGAACCACUGUUUCACUUUGCAUCAGAGAAUGAAUCACAACUGUGAGACAGAAUUAAUCCUCAAUCUCUUUUUUGCCUGGCUGUGUAUGGGUGGAAGAGCUUCCUGAAGACUAAGUAAUUUCUCUGCCAAAUACAACUGAUGGGGAGAGACAUUCAGAAACGUUGUCCUCUCCAGCUGCUGCAGUGUUGUCUUCUGAAGAUGAUGUCAAAAGUACUCCAGUGGAAACAGUGGCAUUAAGGUGGAUUGGAUCUUUGGUUACCAUCACAUCAAAGCUCCAGUUGAGCAUGUAAGAACGAAAUCCCUCCAUCCUCAUCUGUAAUGGGACUAAAUUCAAAUAGAUUUCUGAUGGCCAUCCCUCCCAUUUCUGAGUUCUCUCAGUAGAAGAAGAAAAUAUUGCAAGUUAAUUGCAAAGGCUUCUUUCUUUAACAUGGGGGAGGAGAGUGGGAAAGAGUUUUCCUUUAAUUUGUUUGGAAAAACAAUUGAACUAUUUUUGCCCAAUGCAAGAAAACAGCUUAAAAAAAUGAAGUCAGACAAGUAUGGGAAAUUUUAUGCAGCACAGUAGGGCAAAAUGUAACCAUCUGAAAAACAAGGAUUAUGAUAAAAAAAAAUAUAGGACGAGCCUAAUUGCAAGCAGAGUUAGCUAUACCACCAGGAACAAUAUAUAAUCUGCAGAUAGCUACAGAACAAUUUGGGGCUGCACAUCCAGGCUACAAAAUGUCAAAAAUAACGACUGUUGCAGUGUAAAGUACAACUCGCCAUUAUCGAAAAGUGUGAAAACGUAAAGCUUUUCUCGUAAGAUAGGAUUUCUGCAUCACGGAUUGCUUCUUGAACUAAAGGGCAAUGUUUAACAAUCGCCCUCCUGCCCUUAACAAAUUUUAACUCAUGUAUUCACUCCUCCAAUCUAGGGAAAGCCUGCAUCUCAAUCCCCUCGCUCCCAUGAGCGAGAUACAGCUGACACGAUUUUCAGCAUGCGUGUCUUUUUUUUUUUUUUUUUCCGGAGGCAAAGAAAGGAAAUAAGACUGUAAGACUGUAUCCCCCCGCCUCGCUUCCCUGCUUUCGUGAAUAUGGGCCACUGGAAGCCGUAAGAGGGCUGCCUGCUCGGGUCCCGCCUGGGAGCGGGGCUCCUCCAAGGACGGACGGCGAAGGGCCAGAGCCAAAGUCUCUCCCUCCGAGGGCGAAGGACUUUGUUUUUCCCUUCCCCUUUCUCGCCGGCUCGGGUGCCGAGGAGGAGGCUCCUGCGCAGGGCGGCGAGCGGGGCGCUGCCAUUGUCCCUGCGGGCGGGGCGCCGAGCGGCCCCGCGC